rnacentral:rRNA from 1 species
CUAAACUUAAGAUUAGAUACCCUAUUAUUUUAGAGCUUAACAUUGUAAGUAAAUAAUAAUUAUGAAAGCAAAAAAUUAUGGCGGUAUUUUAAGCUUUUCAGAGGAAUUUGCUCUUUAAUGGAUAAAACACCAAAAUCUUACUUAGAUUUGUGAUUUCAAUUUGUAUACCACUAUUAAAACAAUUUAUAACUUUAAUUGUUUAAAUUUACAAAACUAAAAUAUAUUAAGUCAAGGUGCAGUAAAAAUUUAAGGAUGAAGUGAAUUACAUUACUUUUUAGUGAGAUAAGUUUAUAACAAUAUUUAGGAUUUGAAAGUAAAAUUAAAAUAGGAUGUUAAUUUGAAUUAAGCUCUAAAAUAUGUACAUAUCCCCCGUCACUCUUUAUUAAUAUAAAUCCAUUAAAAAGAAACAAUCC